rnacentral:rRNA from 1 species
UACGUAGGUGGCAAGCGUUAUCCGGAAUUAUUGGGCGUAAAGCGCGCGCAGGCGGUUUCUUAAGUCUGAUGUGAAAGCCCACGGCUCAACCGUGGAAGGUCAUUGGAAACUGGGAGGCUUGAGUGCAGAAGAGGAAAGUGGAAUUCCAUGUGUAGCGGUGAAAUGCGUAGAGAUAUGGAGGAACACCAGUGGCGAAGGCGACUUUCUGGUCUGUAACUGACACUGAGGCGCGAAAGCGUGGGGAGCAAACAGG